CUCUGAGGAGGGACGGUGCUGAGACCUGGGCGCUGAGGGGGUCCCAGCCUCAGAAGUUCCUGGGGACAGCUGCUUCCUGAGGCCUUGUCUGGCCUCGCCACUCUCCUGCAAAGCCUACAGUCCAGCUCCAGCUUCAUUACCUCAGGGCUCCUGGGCUCCUUCUGAGGAGGGAGGGGGGCAUCCCUCCCUUCCUGUGGGCACCCAUUCAUUCAUUCACACGUCAUGUACUUACGCAUGCGUACUUACACCCACUCACCCAUCGAGACUGAUUUGCUUCGGGUCUUCUGCCUUUGUGGGUGCCAGCAAAGAGGAAGAGCAAAGGACAACUCUUGUCCCAUAAGGCUCUGCUUCCAACGCUGUCUCCUUGGAGACGCCCAGCUAAUUUAGCCCUGUGGAAGUCCUGCAAGACAGGAACUGAUGGCUGGAACUGUGGCAGCCGUGUUGCCACCAUGAAGAAUGACACUGCCAACAAGCCAAGGAGAGUGAGUCCCUGAGCGUCACUCUAACUGAUGCAUUGACCCCUGUAGAGCCUCCUUACCUUUGCAGAACUAUAUUUUAUAAAAUAAUAA